rnacentral:rRNA from 1 species
CAGUCGCCGCGGUAAUACGAAGGGUGCAAGCGUUAAUCGGAAUUACUGGGCGUAAAGCGUGCGUAGGCGGUGAGUUAAGUCUGCUGUGAAAUCCCCGGGCUCAACCUGGGAAUGGCAGUGGAUACUGGCUCGCUAGAGUGUGUCAGAGGAUGGUGGAAUUCCCGGUGUAGCGGUGAAAUGCGUAGAGAUCGGGAGGAACAUCAGUGGCGAAGGCGGCCAUCUGGGACAACACUGACGCUGAGGCACGAAAGCGUGGGGAGCAAACAGGAUUAGAUACCCCGGUAGUCCCUGUCUCUUAACA